GAAAUCCGUAUACCUUUCAGCUGAGAACAUAAGAACAACUGAACAGGUUUCCGGAUUCC
ensembl:miRNA mdo-mir-7313 mdo-mir-7313